rnacentral:rRNA from 1 species
UACAGGGGGUGCAAACGUUGCUCGGAAUUAUUGGGCGUAAAGCGCGCGUAGGCGGCUACCUAAGUCGGAUGUGAAAGCCCCUGGCUCAACUGGGGAAGUGCACCCGAAACUGAGUAGCUAGAGUGCAAAAGAGGGUCGCGGAAUUCCCGGUGUAGAGGUGAAAUUCGUAGAUAUCGGGAGGAACACCGGUGGCGAAGGCGGCGACCUGGGUUGACACUGACGCUGAGGCGCGAAAGCUAGGGGAGCAAACGGG